AUUGAACGCUGGCGGCAUGCCUUACACAUGCAAGUCGAACGGUAACGGGCCUUCGGGUGCCGACGAGUGGCGAACGGGUGAGUAAUACAUCGGAACGUGCCCGAUCGUGGGGGAUAACGAGGCGAAAGCUUUGCUAAUACCGCAUACGAUCUACGGAUGAAAGCAGGGGACCGCAAGGCCUUGCGCGGACGGAGCGGCCGAUGGCAGAUUAGGUAGUUGGUGGGAUAAAAGCUUACCAAGCCGACGAUCUGUAGCUGGUCUGAGAGGAUGAUCAGCCACACUGGGACUGAGACACGGCCCAGACUCCUACGGGAGGCAGCAGUGGGGAAUUUUGGACAAUGGGCGCAAGCCUGAUCCAGCCAUGCCGCGUGCAGGAUGAAGGCCUUCGGGUUGUAAACUGCUUUUGUACGGAACGAAAAGCCUUCUUUUAAUACAGGAGGGUCAUGACGCUACCGUAAGAAUAAGCACCGGCUGACUACGUG
rnacentral:rRNA from 1 species